CCCAUUCUGUUGGCUUUAGUUUUUUCAGUGAAGUUGGUAAAAAGGUCAUCAUCUGAGAAUGAAGUUUGAGGUGGUGUACUAUGAGGUUUGAAGAGAGAUGAGAAUGAACAAAAUAGUCAUCACAUAUGUGGUAGAGUGAAUGGACUAGAAGAGUUUAAUAUGGUCAUCAAGCAGCAAUUAGGUUCACUCUCAUGAUCAACAGCGUUGGUCUUCAGCUCAUUCUUUUGCAUGGAUGAAGGCACAAAUUAGGUAAAAAGAUGGAUUUAGCCAGGGUUGUGGUUUUGCUAAGUGAGUACAUCAAGAAAUUAAGGGUAUAAACAAAGAAGUGGAUAUACUGAUUAAUCAGGGACUUUAAGAUUAGUAAAGAGGUGAGAGAGAAUAUCAAGAAGCUUAGAGAUAGUCAAAAGAUAGUUCAGUGGGUUGGAAAUCCCAGUGAAAUUUGAAUUGGAUCACUAGAGGAAAUGAAGGGAUAGAUAGAUGAACGGACUUAAUUAAAUUGAGAUUAUGGAGAGAUUAUUGGUAAUGAGAAGGUCUAGGAUUAUGAACAUAUAAAUGAAUUAAUGAGGUAGUAUGGAGGGUCAGAUCACUGGAAGAGAGGAGUUUAAGAAAUGGAGAGGCUAGAGUGUUGGACUGAAUCAUCUACUGUGUAUAUUGCAGUCAUCCAGGAAUGAAGAUUGUUCUCCACAGAAGUGGAGAUAGUGAAAGUGGACCAGGAAGUAAAACCAGUGGGAAGUAAAGGGAUGUAUCCUAGGGAUUGGUUGGUGACAUCACAAUGAAGGAUAACAGGCAAUAUGAUUUAAUUAUAUGAGAUUCAAUCCCAAGAAUGUCUAGGGAAGAGAGAGAGAGAGAGAGAGAGAGAGAGAGAAGAGAAAAGAGGAAAGAGAAGAGAAAGAAGAGAAGAGAAGAGAAGAGAAGAGAAGAGAAGAAGAGAAGAGAAGAGAAGAGAAUGGUUUGGAGAUAGCGAUGAGGAGCAUGGAGUGAAACAAGAGUAAGAGGGAAGAUGAUGCUUGCUCUGUGAAUCCAAUCGCUUUCCCCAAACUCAACAAGAGAAGUCACUGCUUUUUUGUGUGGGGAGGAGUAAGAGAUAGGAAAAGGGCCCAAAGUGUUCCAUUCUCCUGUAAGUGGAAUGGAACUGGAAAUAUCAACUCAGACUUGAUUCAUCUCAACAGAUUCCUUCAUUUUUUAAAUACAUAUGUGUCUAAAGAAGGGACCUUUGUAAACUGGAAUCUUAAAGGUGGAACUGACUUUGGAAAGAUUCCAACCCAACAUUUGAUUCUGAUGGUGGUGCCACAAGAUCUAAUUAAAGUUAGCUGUCAAUUAGGUGCAUGCAAACCCUUUGAUCUCACUACAGUGCCCUUUUGCAUGUCCCUUUGCUGCAUCAAAUCUGUGGACUAACGUCCAGACUUGUGGAGAGUAACAUUGCAGCUGCUGUGAUCCUCAUCUUGUCAGUAUAUGCUUCUGGCCUUUAUUUGGGAGGUAUAUAACCAAGAUGAUGACAUACAUUGUUCCUGAUUCACUCCUCACAAGAAAAACAACUAAAACCCACUCAAGAACAGGACACCACUGAGGGCAUCCUGGAACAUGCAGUGAUAUUUGGAGUAACUAGAUUCAAACUGCAUGAGAGUCAGCCAUACAAAAUACCAAAGCUCAAGGGGAAAAGCAUCACAUCAUUUGGGUGAGUUACAUUUUGUGAUUCCCUCCACAUAAAGGCUGACAGUAGCUGAAUAAUUUGCCUUUUCUGGAUAUGGAUGUUUUAAUAGGUGAUUGGAAUGGUGAUAUUUAUGUUGACUUUGAAAGCCGCCACAUGUUGAAGAUGACAGAAAGGUACCAGCAUGAAUUUCUGACAGUGGAUUCCCCAGAAUCUCCUAUCACCACCUCUAAUCUGGAAUUGCCUUGGGAUGUUAAUGUGAGAGAGAAAUAAAUAUUU